GACCCAGUAUCCAAAUUGUCACCGUAUGGUGCGCGUUUCAAGCAAUCGCUUGAAUAGGGACUGGGUCGAAC
rnacentral:sRNA from 12 species